rnacentral:rRNA from 1 species
CAGUCGCCGCGGUAAAACGUAGGGUGCAAGCGUUAAUCGGAAUUACUGGGCGUAAAGCGUGCGCAGGCGGUUCGCUAAGACAGAUGUGAAAUCCCCGGGCUUAACCUGGGAACUGCAUUUGUGACUGGCGGGCUAGAGUAUGGCAGAGGGGGGUAGAAUUCCACGUGUAGCAGUGAAAUGCGUAGAGAUGUGGAGGAAUACCGAUGGCGAAGGCAGCCCCCUGGGCCAAUACUGACGCUCAUGCACGAAAGCGUGGGGAGCAAACAGGAUUAGAUACCCCUGUAGUCCCUGUCUCUUAUAC